ensembl:snRNA U2 U2 spliceosomal RNA
AUUGUUUUGAAAGAAAAAAAAAAAAAAAAAAAAAAAAAAAAAAAAAAAAAACACUGUUCUUAUCAGUUUAAUACCUGAUACGUCCUCCAUUCGAGGACUUUAUAUUAAAUGGAUUUUUAGAGCCAGGAACUGGAAGAGGGGCUUGCUCCGUCCGCUCCAUGCAUCGACCUGGUACUGCAGUACCUAAAGGUGCCCCUUUU